AACGAACGCUGGCGGCAGGCCUAACACAUGCAAGUCGAGCGAGGACUUCGGUUCUAGCGGCGGACGGGUGAGUAACGCGUGGGAAUGUGCCCUUCUCUACGGAAUAGCCCUGGGAAACUGGGAGUAAUACCGUAUACGCCCUAUUGGGGAAAGAUUUAUCGGAGAAGGAUCAGCCCGCGUUGGAUUAGGUAGUUGGUGGGGUAAUGGCCUACCAAGCCGACGAUCCAUAGCUAGUUUGAGAGGAUGAUCAGCCACACUGGGACUGAGACACGGCCCAGACUCCUACGGGAGGCAGCAGUGGGGAAUCUUAGACAAUGGGGGCAACCCUGAUCUAGCCAUGCCGCGUGAGUGAUGAAGGCCUUAGGGUUGUAAAGCUCUUUCAGCUGGGAAGAUAAUGACGGUACCAGCAGAAGAAGCCCCGGCUAACUCCGUG
rnacentral:rRNA from 1 species